CCCGUUGCACACAUGUAAGGACGGCAUCCCUUGUGGUACGAUGAACAGAGGAGAAGCACUGCAUUGUGCGGACGCUCCAAACAUAUCGGGCAGCAAGAUAACAGCGGAUGAGGAGUCGAAGUUUUCGCUUUGUGGUUCUCUUUGUUGGUUUUCCCCAUCAGGAGAUGAAGUGCGCGUGAACUGGAUCUGCAAAUGGCGAUCAAAGCCUAAGAAACGCAAAGUUACGGAUCUGUGAAGCAAAAUCUGGUAACAGAACUCAACGAUGAAACAUGCUUUUCAUUUGUUAUACGGACAGAACAGGUUCUAUCGCAUUCGUGCUCCAAACUAUAACGCAGCAUCAAUCCAAUACGGAAAACGCGAAUUCAACUCGAGAUAUGAGAUCGAAAACGAAUUACACGGCGCAAUGCUCCACGACACACACACAGAACGCAUCACAGCGAUCUCGCUAAAAACGAAGGUCCAGAAGACCAUCUAAGAUAGAUCUUUCUUCUAAAACUUAAGGAUCAAAGGAAUCAGCGUACCCAACCUGGAAAUUCCGCGAACCAGAUGACGAACACCGAAGGAUAAUGUGAUGAGAGAUGCAGGGACGACAGAGACGGAAGUGUCGGAAGACGAACACGACAGCGGCGGCGGAACACGGCGGUCGGAGGAGAUGAGGUCUCCGAUCUUCGCGGAUGUUCGAGGGGGAAAAAAGGGAAAAAGCGAUUGCUUCUGAAGAUUGUCGUACGCAACGAGGCCGGCCUUUUCAUUUGAUUUUUAAACGAGUUUUAGAUUCUCAUCUCAUGUCGUCAUUUUGACGCCAUAGUGUUUGUAUCGCCAAAAUACCAUAUCGGGGCUAUAUCUCACGCUACGUUGGGUUGGGCUCUUUCUUGGGCCGUAAUCUAACAGGCCUGUUAUACCCAAUUAUCCAAAUGUUUCAUUGCGUUUAA